rnacentral:rRNA from 1 species
AUUGAACGCUGGCGGCAUGCCUUACACAUGCAAGUCGAACGGUAACGCGGGGCAACCUGGCGACGAGUGGCGAACGGGUGAGUAAAGCAUCGGAACGUGCCCAGUAGUGGGGGAUAGCCCGGCGAAAGCCGGAUUAAUACCGCAUACGACCUAUGGGUGAAAGGGGGGGAUCGCAAGACCUCUCGCUAUUGGAGCGGCCGAUGUCAGAUUAGGUAGUUGGUGGGGUAAAGGCCUACCAAGCCGACGAUCUGUAGCUGGUCUGAGAGGACGACCGUGCACACUGGGAGUGAGACACGGCCCAGACUCCUACGGGAGGCAGCAGUGGGGAAUUUUGGACACUGGGCGCAAGCCUGAUCCAGCCAUGCCGCGUGCGGGAAGAAGGCCUUCGGGUUGUAAACCGCGUUUGUCAGGGAAUAAAUCCUUUGGGUUAAUACCUCGGGGGGAUGACGGUACCUGAAGAAUAAGCACCGGCUAACUACGUGCCAGCCGCCGCCGUAA